rnacentral:tRNA from 1 species
GCCGGAGUGGCGGAAUGGCAUACGCAGGGCACUCAAAAUGCCCCGGCCCUCGUGGCCGUGUGGGUUCGAGUCCCACCUCCGGCACCA